rnacentral:rRNA from 1 species
AUUGAACGCUGGCGGCAGGCCUAACACAUGCAAGUCGAGCGGCAGCGGAAAGUAGCUUGCUACUUUGCCGGCGAGCGGCGGACGGGUGAGUAAUGUCUGGGAAACUGCCUGAUGGAGGGGGAUAACUACUGGAAACGGUAGCUAAUACCGCAUGACCUCGAAAGAGCAAAGUGGGGGAUCUUCGGACCUCACGCCAUCGGAUGUGCCCAGAUGGGAUUAGCUAGUAGGUGAGGUAAUGGCUCACCUAGGCGACGAUCCCUAGCUGGUCUGAGAGGAUGACCAGCCACACUGGAACUGAGACACGGUCCAGACUCCUACGGGAGGCAGCAGUGGGGAAUAUUGCACAAUGGGCGCAAGCCUGAUGCAGCCAUGCCGCGUGUGUGAAGAAGGCCUUAGGGUUGUAAAGCACUUUCAGCGAGGAGGAAGGCAUCACACUUAAUACGUGUGGUGAU